GAGACCAGCUGAAUAUCCAAGGACCCUACAGACAACCACAGCCAGGCGUGACAGGACAAAACGAGGCCAUCCAGGAGCCCAACGUCUUCCCCCUGGCCCCCUGCUGCAUGAGCACUGCUCUCUCCAAUUUGACACUGGGCUGCCUAGUGAAGGGCUACUUCCCGGAGCCAGUGACCGUGAGCUGGGACACGGGUCCUCUGAGCAAGAGUGUUGUGACCUUCCCCACCACCCCGGACACAAACCCCAGCCUCUACACCACCGUAAGCCAGGUGACCAUCUUGGGUGAGUGGAACAAGCAGAAGUUCACCUGCAGUGUGGUCCACAGUCCGUCCAAUGCCAGCAUCAGCAAGAACAUCAGCGUGUGUUCAAAGAACUUCACCCUGCCCUCCGUGAGGCUCUUCCACUCAUCCUGUGACCCCCAAGGGGACUCCCACUCCACCAUCCAGCUCCUGUGCCUCAUCUCUGGCUACACUCCAGGUGACAUCAAUGUCCGGUGGCUGGAAGAUGGGCAGGAGAUAAAACAUUUGUUCUCAAACACUGUCCCUGCCACGGUAAAGGACAAGCUGGCCUCCACCCACAGCGAGAUCAACAUCACCCAGGGCCAAUGGGUGUCUGAAAAAACCUACACCUGCAAGGUCACCUAUCAAGGCCUUAACUUUGAGGACAAUGCCAGGAAGUGCUCAGAUUCCGAGCCCCGAGGGGUGAUGACUUACCUCAGCGUCCCCAGCCCAAUAGACCUGUACGUCAAUAAGUCACCCAAGCUCACCUGCUUAGUGGUGGACCUGGCCAGCAGCGACCAGUUGAAACUGACCUGGUCCCGGAAGAGCAAGAAACCUGUGCACCCAGACCCACCCAACAGCAAGAAGCAGUACAAUGGGACAGUCACUGUCACGUCCACCCUGCCAAUAGAAGUGAAUGACUGGAUCGAGGGUGAGACCUACUACUGCAAGGUGACCCACCCGGAUCUGCCUAAAUCCAUCGUGCGGUCCACCACUAAGGGCAAUGGCAGCCGCGUCCCCCCGGACCUCUAUGUGUUCCAGCCGCCCGAGGAGGAGAAAGGGAACGAAGUCACCCUGACCUGCCUGAUCCAGAACUUCUUCCCCGAGGACAUCUCUGUGCAGUGGCUGCGCAAUGACACGGUCCUCAGCGCAGACCAGUACAGCACCACAGGCCCCUACAAGGCCAAUGGCCUCAAGCCCUCCUUCUUCACCUUCAGCCGCCUGCAGGUCAGCAGGGUGGCCUGGGAGCAGGACACAUUCUUCUGCCAUGUGGUGCACGAAGCACUGAGUGGCUCAAGGACCCUCCAGAAACCAGUGCCCAGAAGCCCUGAGCUGAACCUCUGGGACCUGUGCACCGAGGAGCCAGAGAGCAAGGAGCUGGAAGAGCUGUGGACCAGCACUUACAUCUUCAUUGCCCUCUUCCUUCUCAGCGUGAGCUACAGCGCCACAGUCACCCUUGUAAAGGUGAAGUGGGUCUUCUCGGCCAUGCUGCAGGAGAGACCUCAGACCUUUCAUGACUACAAGAACAUGAUCCACGAGGUGAUCUAAGCCCCGGAGACCCAGCCCGGGGACAUGGACCAGGCUCAGCAGGCUCUAGAUGUAGGCCCCACUCUCUCCCCGCGACUGAGCCCAGAUCAGAUCCCUUGAGGCUCUGUGCUGGGUUGGAGAGGGGAGAGAGGAGAGAAGGAGCAGACAAACCCCCACAGGGAACGGGGAAGGGAGGCAAUGAGCCUACCAGGAGCUGAUGACCUGCACACAGGAGCCAGGGCCACCUGCAAGUCAGCCCCAGGGUUCAAGGCAUCUGAUGGGACCAUCGAUACAGCCCUCACCCCCCACAUUGGGACAAGCCCCAGAAUAGCUCCUGUACCUACCACAAGUGACCUGAAUUGGAUGGGGUGUCUGACCACCCUGGGCUCAUCUCAGGCCCCUGCAGGUCAGGGUCACCCCUGAUCUGAUUGAACAAUCACCUAAACACAGUGAAGCCCCAGAACCCAUUGCUUGGCUUACUUCCCAGGGGACAGGCAGAGUCCAAGGCCAGCAAAGACCCAAGACCAACCCAGAGUCUGAGUCCAGGCCAGGUCCAAGUCCAGUCCAGGGUUUUAGUCCAGCCCAGAGCCUGAAUCCAGCCUAGAGCCUGAGUCUAUCCCAGAGCCCAAGUCAAGCCCAGGGCCCAAGUCCAGCCUCGAGUUUGAGACCAGUCCAGAGUUCAGAGCCAAACCCAGAGGCCAAUGACAAAAGCCCAGCCCAGUGCCUGAGUCGAGCCCAGAGUCCAAGCCCAUCCCAGGGUUUGAGUCCAGUCCAGGGUUCGAGUGCAGCCCAGGGUCUGAAUCCAGCCCAAUGGAGAAGGAAUUUCCAGCAUCCACAUGGCCACCAACACAGCCCAGCAGCUUCCCAGCACUGGCCAGCAGGUCUUCAUCCAACCUCUCCCCCGACUUUGGUUUUUCUGUUUCCUUCUGUUUGGGUUUCUUAGUAAACUUCCU